GGAUUGGGAUAUAUCGAUCAUGGCUUUAGGGACAUGAAUCGGUGUAUGGUCAAUUCUCACCUUCUGGUGAAUUGGGAUGCUCUCGGGUGUUUCGAUGAACCAGGACUUUUACUUUGAAAAAAUUAGAGUGUUUAAAGCGGGCAUUUUUGCUUGAAUAUAUUAGCAUGGAAUAAUAAAAUAGGACGAUGGUUCUAUUUUGUUGGUUUUAGGACCACGUAAAGAUUAAUAGGGAUAGUUGGG
rnacentral:rRNA from 1 species